GACGAACGCUGGCGGCGUGCUUAACACAUGCAAGUCGAACGGAAAGGCCCUGCUUUUGUGGGGUGCUCGAGUGGCGAACGGGUGAGUAACACGUGAGUAACCUGCCCUUGACUUUGGGAUAACUUCAGGAAACUGGGGCUAAUACCGGAUAGGAGCUCCUGCUGCAUGGUGGGGGUUGGAAAGUUUCGGCGGUUGGGGAUGGACUCGCGGCUUAUCAGCUUGUUGGUGGGGUAGUGGCUUACCAAGGCUUUGACGGGUGGCCGGCCUGAGAGGGUGACCGGCCACAUUGGGACUGAGAUACGGCCCAGACUCCUACGGGAGGCAGCAGUGGGGAAUAUUGCACAAUGAGCGGAAGCCUGAUGCAGCAGCGCCGCGUGCGGGAUGACGGCCUUCGGGUUGUAAACCGCUUUCGCCUGUGACGAAGCGUGAGUGACGGUAAUGGGUAAAGAAGCACCGGCUAACUACGUG
rnacentral:rRNA from 1 species